GUGACAAGGGGGCAUAAACUCUGAAUCCAAAUGGUAGGUCUGAUGGCUCCCUCCAUGGGUUUGGAAAUCGCUGGUCUAGACAACCAAGAAGGAAAAUGGUAAGCGCUGAAGCACAGAUGAUGGGAGAGACAGCCAAAGGAGAAGAAAUCAAGAAAGACUGCAUCACACCUAGUGUUGCACUGUUUUCAACUUGGGCAUGAAAGAGAGAGUCUUCCAGGGCAUAGCUAGUUUUAGGUUAUGCAUGUGGUGGUGUGCUGAGACACUUCCACAGGCAAGGAUGGGACUGUGGCACUUUUAGAAAAGAAAAUAACUCCUUAAAAAUAUUAUACUAUUGGCUGGGUGUGG
rnacentral:lncRNA from 1 species